rnacentral:tRNA from 1 species
UCCUCGUAUAUAACAAUUACCCUGGUCUUGUAAACCAAAAAUGAAGUGCAACCCUUCCUAGGACA